rnacentral:rRNA from 1 species
AUACGAAAGGUGCAAGCGUUGUUCGGAUUUACUGGGCGUAAAGAGAGUGUAGGUGGUUUAUUAAGUCGGAUGUGAAAUCCCGGGGCUCAACCUCGGAACUGCAUUCGAUACUGAUAGGCUAGAGUUUGGGAGGGGUAAGCGGAAUUCCGUGUGUAGCAGUGAAAUGCGUAGAUAUACGGAGGAACACCUGAGGCGAAGGCGGCUUACUGGACCAAUACUGACACUGAGACUCGAAAGCGUGGGUAGCAAACAGGAUAAGAAACCCCAGUAGUCC